rnacentral:lncRNA from 1 species
GUGCUUUUGACAAGAUAUAACAGCUUGAAGAAACUCUGGAGCAAACCAAAAUCCUUGAUAUUGAUGUAAAUGGAUUCCAUUCCAACAUUUUUCCGAUGGCAAUGUGGUUAACAAUUCCUCACAUUCUUCGCCUAAGUCAUAUUCUUGCAUGUAUUUUGGUACAAGAGUUUUUUCACUUAAUUUUUCCAUGGUGAAUAGUAUAACUCAGGUGAUAAUAUUGUGGGUUGAAAUCAAGAUACAAUUGUUUAUAUAUAUAUAUAUAUAUAUAUAUAUAUAUAUAUAUAUAUAUAUAUAGAGAGAGAGAGAGAGAGAGAGUUUAUAAUUUUAUUUUAUAAAAAAAUUAUUUAAUUAAUUUUUAUUUAUUUAAUAUAAAAUAUAUUUUAUUUGUGUUGUAAGAUUUGUUGNCUUCUUGAGAAAAUGGACACUCCAAAAACUUAGCAAUUUCUUUCAAAUAAAAAUAUGGCUUCAUUUUCAUUUCUUCAUAUUUCAAGAACAUUACCUUGUUUGAACUUUCCAAGCUUUUCUUCCAAUAUCCUAAUACAUGCUCCCAAAAAGGUCCAAAAGGACACACUCCUCGACAAAAACACUCAAAAGCCUCUUCUAAUGGAAGUGUUCCAUUCCUUUUUGAUCUAACAUUGCUUAUGAAAUGCCAAAAUGAAACAAAAACAUCUUUAGGAUCUCUACAUAGAUACAAAACUUUGCAAGUUGAGUCUUUCACAGAUUUUGGUAAUGAUUCAUAAGAUAGAUGAGUGGAGAAUAUUCUUGGAGAAGAUAUUGUUUUGAGAUCAGGAACAAAAUCUUUGUUGCAGUAAAGGUCUACCUCCCAAAAGGGAACAAGUUCGUGUGGAUUUUUUGUGAGCAAAGGAUGAUUGCUAUGAAUAUUUGGAUAUUUGUUGCGGUUUAUCAAAGCAAAAGACAAUGCUUUGAGCCAAGUGGUACCUGCUUUAGGAGAAGUGACUAAGAGAAUAUCAGUAUCAAAGGCUUGAAAGUGCUUUUGACAAGAUAUAACAGCUUGAAGAAACUCUGGAGCAAACCAAAAUCCUUGAUAUUGAUGUAAAUGGAUUCCAUUCCAACAUUUUUCCGAUGGCAAUGUGGUUAACAAUUCCUCACAUUCUUCGUCUAAGUCAUAUUCUUGCAUGUAUUUUGGUACAAGAGUUUUUUCACUUAAUUUUUCCAUGGUGAAUAGUAUAACUCAGGUGAUAAUAUUGUGGGUUGAAAUCAAGAUACAAUUG